UGGGGAAUAUUGCGCAAUGGCCGAAAGGCUGACGCAGCGACGCCGCGUGGGGGAUGAAGCAUUUCGGUGUGUAAACCCCUGUUGCUCGGGACGAACAACCUGUUUCGCCAGGUCUGACGGUACCGGGUGAGGACGCACCGGCUAACUCCGUGCCAGCAGCCGCGGUAAUACGGAGGGUGCGAGCGUUGUCCGGAAUCACUGGGCGUAAAGGGCGCGUAGGCGGUCUGUUAAGCGUGCGGUGAAAGCCCGGGGCUCAACCCCGGGUCUGCCGUGCGAACUGGCGGACUAGAGCACUGUAGAGGCAGGUGGAAUUCCGGGUGUAGCGGUGGAAUGCGUAGAGAUCCGGAAGAACACCGGUGGCGAAGGCGGCCUGCUGGGCCGAUACUGACGCUGAGGAGCGAAAGCCAGGGGAGCAAA
rnacentral:rRNA from 1 species